AUUGAACGCUGGCGGCAAGCUUAACACAUGCAAGUCGAGCGGAGCGAGGGUGCUUGCACCUUAGCUUAGCGGCGGACGGGUGAGUAAUGCUUAGGAAUCUGCCUAUUAGUGGGGGACAACAUUCUGAAAGGAAUGCUAAUACCGCAUACGCCCUACGGGGGAAAGCAGGGGAUCUUCGGACCUUGCGCUAAUAGAUGAGCCUAAGUCGGAUUAGCUAGUUGGUGGGGUAAAGGCCUACCAAGGCGACGAUCUGUAGCGGGUCUGAGAGGAUGAUCCGCCACACUGGGACUGAGACACGGCCCAGACUCCUACGGGAGGCAGCAGUGGGGAAUAUUGGACAAUGGGCGGAAGCCUGAUCCAGCCAUGCCGCGUGUGUGAAGAAGGCCUUUUGGUUGUAAAGCACUCUAAGCGAGGAGGAGGCUACUCAGAUUAAUACUCUGGGAUAGUGGACGUUACUCGCAGAAUAAGCACCGGCUAACUCUGUGCCAGCCGCCGCAGUAAGAC
rnacentral:rRNA from 1 species